rfam:Brevibacillus sp. CF112 PMI08_contig_24.24, whole genome shotgun sequence.
AAAAAAAUACCCCCUCGCCAAAAGACGAUGGGGCAGCGGUUCAACUCCUCCCGCGCGGGGAGCGUCGGCACGGAAUGCUCCUAUCAGACACGCCGUGCGCCAAAGUGAACUGCCUUUCAAUUAUGGGAGAGGAGAAACCGGAGGAAGAGCUUAUGGGGAAACGUAAGUCUUCUCCGCGG